rnacentral:rRNA from 1 species
UACGUAGGGUGCGAGCGUUAAUCGGAAUUACUGGGCGUAAAGCGUGCGCAGGCGGUUGUGCAAGACAGAUGUGAAAUCCCCGGGCUUAACCUGGGAACUGCAUUGGUGACUGCACGGCUAGAGUGUGUCAGAGGGGGGGUAGAAUUCCACGUGUAGCAGUGAAAUGCGUAGAGAUGUGGAGGAAUACCGAUGGCGAAGGCAGCCCCCCUGGGAUAACACUGACGCUCAUGCACGAAAGCGUGGGGGAGCAAACAGG